AACGAACGCUGGCGGCAGGCUUAACACAUGCAAGUCGAGCGCCCCGCAAGGGGAGCGGCAGACGGGUGAGUAACGCGUGGGAAUCCACCCAUCUCUACGGAAUAACGCAUGGAAACGUGUGCUAAUACCGUAUACGUCCUUCGGGAGAAAGAUUUAUCGGAGAUGGAUGAGCCCGCGUUGGAUUAGCUAGUUGGUGGGGUAAAGGCCUACCAAGGCGACGAUCCAUAGCUGGUCUGAGAGGAUGAUCAGCCACACUGGGACUGAGACACGGCCCAGACUCCUCGGGGAGGCAGCAGUGGGGAAUAUUGGACAAUGGGCGCAAGCCUGAUCCAGCCAUGCCGCGUGAGUGAUGAAGGCCCUAGGGUUGUAAAGCUCUUUCACCGGUGAAGAUAGUGACGGUAACCGGAGAAGAAGCCCCGGCUAACUUCGUGCCAGCCGCCGCCGUAAUAC
rnacentral:rRNA from 1 species